rnacentral:rRNA from 1 species
CAAUAGCGUAUAUUAAAGCUGUUGCGGUUAAAAAGCUCGUAGUUGGAUUUCUGUCAAGGACAACUGGUCCGCCCCUCGGGUGAGCACAUAGUUUGGUCUUGGCAUCUUGUUGGAAACUGUUGCUGCACUUGGUUGUGUGGCGCAGUGUCCAGCACUUUCACUUUGAGGAAAUUGGAGUGUUUCAAGCAGGCACAUGCCUUUGGACACAGUAGCAUGGAAUAAUUAGAUUGGGCCUUUGCUCCAACUUGUCGGUUUCUGGAGCUGAGGUGAGAAUUAAUGGGGAUUGUUGGGGGCAUCCGAAUUUAGCCGUCAGAGGUGAAAUUCUUGGAUCUGCUAAAGACGGACAACUGCGAAAGCGUUUGCCCAGGAUGUUUUCAUUGA